rnacentral:lncRNA from 1 species
GCGCGCUAGCGGUAGACUCGUAUUUCCAGCGUGUUCCACUGGCAGCUCGGGUGCGUGAAUUUAGCAUUGAGCGCGUAAAAUAUUGCACUGAAAUCGGGAGUCGGUGUCAAAGUAGUGCAAUUAUGGCUGCAGAUCGUGAAAGAGUCGAAGUAGAUGCUGUGACAGCAACCCUUUUAUUAGAUCUAAUUUCAUCUUCGUCUAGCAGUGAUGAUGCUUGCUCGAGCCGAAAGAUAGAGAGAUUCCCAAAAUUUUAAAUUUCAUAGGAGUAAUCCACAGCAUGUCCGAUAUCGAAGAGAAAUUAUGAUCCAGUCUGCCUUUAUACGUUUUACGGCGUGUUCCACUCAGAAGGUUUGCCCCGAUGCCGGCACUGAUAUAUAUAUACACUGGAUUGGAUAUUACCGUAUACUCUACGUGUAAGCUCGUGUGUCCAAUUGAACACUUGAAUUUCCGCCAUCUUGUACAGAAAGUUGUCACAGAAUGCGCGCUAGAUUUGAACUGCGUAAAAUAUGCUAUUUAAAUCUAACGAUAUA